AACGUGACCCCAGGUCAGGCGGGGCUACCCGCUGAAUUUAAGCAUAUCAAUAAGCGGAGGAAAAGAAACUAACAAGGAUUCCCCUA
rnacentral:rRNA from 1 species